AAGACCCUCAGUGCAACCUCUCUCAUAAUUCUUUAUUUUAUUUGUGCUAACAUCUCAAACCGCAAUCCAGAAUCUUAAAAGCCCAUCACUACUUGCGAUACAUGAAGUUUCCUGGUAGUAACAAUAAACAAAGCACUUGCUUGUAAGUAGAAAUAGAUUUUCACUCCUUUUAGAUUCCCUCCGAAACCAUACCAAUGACCAUAACACACCAUAAUGAUGAUGAAAAAAAUACUCCAAAACAUAAACUAAAACUAUGUAAAGAGAUUACUUCCUACUGUCUUGUCUCUCAAAACAAACAGGCAGAUGAGUAAGUGCUUAUAUCUCUCCUUCCGUCCUUCGUGCCUACAUCAACCGCCAAACCCUAGUCACUCUGCAAUUUCCUUUCUCUAAUACUAAAAAAUAUGAAAUCCAACGACCCCCCCGCAAGAUCAAGAAUCCUCCACCAUUGAUCACACUCCUCCAUUCCAAUCUCAUACCCAAUCAAAACCUUUGAAGAGCUUGAAACUCGUUCUUAGUUUGAAUCUUUUCACUGCCCAUUUAACAAAUCUUAUGUUCCUUUAAAACCCAAGUCUUAGCCAAAUAGGCCUAGGCUUCUUGUUCGCCAUGAUAUGCAAGGAGGUUAUGUGAAUGACAAGUGGGUUCAAGGAGGGACUAAUCCUGAUGCUUAUGCUACUUGGCAUUGGUAUUUGAUUGAUGUUUUCGUCUACUUCUCUCAUAGUUUGGUUACCUUGCCUCCUCCUUGCUGGACUAAUACUGCUCACAGACGUGGUGUCAAGGAGAUUCUUUUUAAUUUUUUUUGGAAUUGCCCUGGAGGCUGGUUUGCGUUGGCGGGGCAGGCGACAGAGCUAGCUAGUUGCAGAGGUGAAGGCCUCCGAGUGUUUGGGACUUUCAUAACAGAAUGGGAUGAAGGAAAACUUGUCCGCAAUAAAUUGCUUGCAACAAUGAAGUCUGCUCGGAUGAAUGCUGAGCGAUUGGCAGAGCUUGCUGUUGAUUUGGGCUUUGAUGGAUGGCUGAGUAACUAUCCAGAUCUUUCAGCUGCUGUGGCUGGAAAUAGAAAGUUUGAUGUCUACAUGGGAAUGGAUGUAUUUGGAAGGAAAACUUUUGGUGGUGGACAAUGGAACGUUGUUUCUACGUUGUCCUUGAGUAACCAUGUGAUUCCGCUACUUGUUGGGACUGAUCAUUGUCUGAAUGUCGUUCAUGAUCUUCACAAGUGUAAACAUCAAGCAUGCUUCCAAGCACUGACAAACUUGAUAUUGUUCAGGGUCAAGGCUAUCGUGUUUCUGUCAAGGGCAACCAACUAACAGAUGCUCCUUGGAACAACAUGUCUUGCCAAGGCUUUCAGACUUGUCUUGAGUUUAUUGACGAGGCGAUUCCAGAUGCUAUUCAAUUCAUUAUUGAAUAACCAAUCUGCGGCGUGCCUUAAUAUUGAAGAAAAAAUGGUUCUUCUUUUAUUGCUCUGUGGGCCUAGCAUCAAUAAACCAUAUCUGUGGAUGGUAGAAUCCCGAGCCUUGACAAAUGGAUGCUUCUAGUUUAUGCUAGCUCUUUCAGUCUUCCACAGACUUAAUCAUGAUAACGACAUCAGAGCAUGCUUGUAUCUUUCCUCGUUUCGAGAUUGGUGGCUUUUUGCUAGCUUACGUAGCCCCACAACAUGACAUUGGUACUGCAUUCCUUAAUUGCACUCAUUUUGAUUUCGGCUUGUUGAUUGUCACUUUUCUUACCUGAUAUUUGCAGAUGAUAGCAACGCUCCUUUCUCAGUAAGGCUCUCUUUCAAGGGGAGCUUCUUUUGGACAACCUACCUCUCCACCUUGCAUACUCUGUAAGCUUUCUUAUUUGGUUCAAGUUUGAUGACACAGAAAGUAUUCCAUACAAUGCUUACUUAUUCCGUAACAAAAUGGCAAGCCCCUGUUUCAUGUCCAUCCUGUAAAUGAACUCAACUGCCUUCAAUUUGAAAUGAUAAUUGAUGCGAACCUUGUGAUUGUGAUUAUUUGAUCACACAACUCACAAUUAAGAAUGUGAUCUGAUCCCAGAAAACCAAAAUAGGUUUGAUAGGAAUGUGAUACAAUGAAAACUUGUUUCAAGACACUAGCACUAUUGUAAUGAAGUCGAAUGACACCACUAAGUCAGUUAAUCUUCGAUAAGUUAGAUUCAAUUCGUUCAAGAACAAAAAAAAUACAAAAAUCUCUCUUACACGUUAAAACUGAAAAGUUCAGAAGUGUUAUUCAUCAAACAUCCGAAAUUUAGGCUUACAUGUGUUUAAAUAGUUCUAAGAAAUUAACCCUAAUGGAUUUACUAUUGUGAGCUGAAUUGGUCCACUUACAAAAACUAACCCAAAAUCUUUACUAACAAGCUUAAACCUUGAUCCAAAUAAGCCUUUGGAUCCUAACUGAAAACAAAGUAUUAAUUAAGCCCAAACAAGCCUUGGACAGUAGCUAAAAAAAUAAAAAUAAAGUUCUUAAGUCCUAAAUCUUUAUCUCCCGUGAGAAGAGAAGAAGAAAAAAAACAUUGUAAGUCUGAUACAAGACUUAUUUAUAGUUUAUAAUGCUGCCAAAUAAUCCUAGGAACUAAAGGAGAAGUUACCGUAUCUUUGGUUUUCAAGUUAUAAUAGAAUUUUGAUUUCAGCCUCGUACAUAUCCUUUUGGAAGAAAAAGGAUGCUCUCUUUAAUGCUCAUCUUUGUCACUUCUUGGUAUCCUUCCAAUACUAGAAAAUACAAUUAAGUUGCUGAAUUAUUCUUUUUGCACAACAAGGAAACUUUGUUGCCACGUGUGUUUUCUAAAUCAGCUUGGAUUCAUUUGUUUUUUUUGUUGUGUUUUCUCCUCAUAUGACAAGGAAAUAAAAUAAAAAUAAUAAAUUCUAAUAUUUAAAGAAAAUAAUUAAUGUUCUCAUAUAUAAGGAAAUCCAAAACUAGUUAGGAAUCCACAAAACACAUAAAAACAUUACAUAACAAGGCUGAUCGAAACUGAUACAAAAUUGACAACCUUGUUGUCGAAACUUAAUGGCCCAAAUAAAGAUGGAUUGGGUCUUUCUUGCAUAUGGAUUAAAUGUACUAAGGUCUCUUCUUGAUGCUCUAAAGGAUUUCUAAGUUUAACCUUGACCGAAACUUACACAACCAGUCCAUUCAAUACCUUCGCUUUGGACCUUGUGAUGGGUCGGUUUGGAACGUGUAAUAAGUUUUUGGUAUUCGUGGGUUGAUCUAGAUCAAUCAUGCUAGAUGUAAAAUAAUAAUUUGAAAUAAAAAUACUGUGAAUGUACAGUUAUUAAGAAUAAUAUAAGCAUAGAUUAGAAAUAUAUUGAACAAGGUGGUGUGUAUAUGUUCCCGUUUCUCUAGAUAAACAGAGUUCCCUGUUGUUUGAAGACUGAAAUUUGGGACACAUUAUGCAAACAGAAAUUAAAACUGAUAAAAUAAUUACAUGUUUUUCAUCCACUUCCAUCUGGUUCAGCUGUGGCCACCUCAAGUAAUGCACAUGAAAUCAAAGGGGGGACUCGCAGCUGUAAUGAAUGAGAGAAUAAGAGCACUUGUUGCACCAUCAGAAAUGCACGGAUUGUUUCACAAAUUCAGUGGAGUGAUUAUGCCACAUCAAGCUAGCAAAAUGGCUUCAGAAUGGAUCAUACAUGGGGUACUGUCGCCAUGGAUGGGCACGUAUUAACAGAAAUCCAUUCUGCGUGCUACUGGACAAAGUCUACACAUACUGAAUUGCAAUCAGAAUUCGGCUUAGAUAACCAAGAUACAGCUCUAGAUCCCAGUCCUGCAGAGUACUUUGCAGUGCUUGGUAACUUCACAUUUAAAAAACUUUCAGAGAACUUAUUUUUUCCUCCAUCAACUGCAUCGCUAACCGAGAGUCAAUAUGUUAAGUAUAACUCGAUUUCUCAGGGAUUUAAAGCUGCCAGUUUGAAAACCACUUGGAAACUGAAAGAUGGAAAUGAUUUUGUGUUCCCAAAGUACAAUAUCUAUGUAGAGAAACUAGCAAAACAAGUUGAUGAAAAUGCAACUGGAAAACUAGAUAGUAUCUUGGGACGGCACGUGUUCAAGGGUUUUAUAUGUCUGGCCUUUCCAUUCCCUGUCAUGUCGGCAGUCUCAAAUUCAUUAUCAAAGUCUGUGCUGCUGAUGGAACCUGCCAGGAGCUGGAGGAUUCUCCAUAUAUGCUACUAGAUGUUGGAGGUCAGUAAAUUUUGUUGCCUCGAUUUGCUUUUCCAUUUGUAUCAGUAAUUCGGUAUUAUUCCUCGAGGAAUCGCAAAUAGCACUGCUUAUGUCUGGCUGGUGUUGUAUAGUGUCAAUAAACAUGAUUAAAAUGAUUUACGAUAAACUUUUUCCUUGCAACACUAUGUGCUUUGAAAGAUGUAGUGAUCGUAAAUUGUUUUUAAAUUUCUAAACUGGUCUGAUGUGCCUUUCCUUUU